rnacentral:rRNA from 1 species
UGACGGCGUGCGUAACACAUGCAAGUCGAACGGUCUAAUGCUUAACACUGAGUGUUCAGUAAAAGUUGGGACAGCGAGAGCGCGAAGAAUGAGCGCUCCACGCAUUAAAUAAGUGCYAACACAACUAAAGUGUGUGCCWACACACGAUAAUGUGUGCCAACACACGAUAAUGUGUGCCAACACAUUAUCGGWACGCUGAAUGUUGAGUGUUAAGUAUUAGAUAGUGGCGGACGGGUGAGUAACGCGUGGGUAACCUACCCAUAAAGCCGGGACAACCCUUGGAAACGAGGGCUAAUACCGGAUAAUCUUAGAUGUUGGCAUCAACGUUUAAGGAAAGGUGGCCUCUGAAAAUGCUACCGAUUAUGGAUGGACCCGCGUCUGAUUAGCUAGUUGGUGGGGUAAAGGCCUACCAAGGCGACGAUCAGUAGCCGGCCUGAGAGGGUGAACGGCCACACUGGGACUGAGACACGGCCCAGACUCCUACGGGAGGCAGCAGUGGGGAAUCUUCCGCAAUGGACGAAAGUCUGACGGAGCAACGCCGCGUGUAUGAUGAAGGUCUUCGGAUUGUAAAGUACUGUCUUUGGGGAAGAACGAUCUCUUUGAGAAUAUUGAGGGGAUAUGACGGUACCCCAAGGAGGAAGCCCCGGCUACCUACGUGCCA